CUCCGCCCUCUCUCCAGCCGGCAACAGGCCAGCGACAGGGUCAUGCUGACCUUGCCCAUCUGAUAGCAAGUCCUGCCCUUGGGGUGUCUCCCAAAUGUCUCAGUGCAGAGCCCCGCCAGGUCCUGCCCCGGGGGGCCUUGGGGUCUGUCCCUGGGGGCUCAGGCCUCUCUCUGGCUGCACCCACGCCCCUCCCAGCGCCUUCAGGCUGAGCCGCCCUGCCCAGGGGCUCGGCCUUAAGCAUGGAUGCGCCUGUGGCUCAGGUACUCAGUGUUGCAGAAACUCUUCCCUCCCAUCCCGCACAUGAAAGACCCCAUCACUGACAACCUUCAGAACAGCAAGUUGGUGGCCUGGGAGGGCAGCAGAGCAAGCCGGGAAGACUGCCCGGUGGCAGAGGUGCAGGUUUUGGGGGAGACAUGACAACGGACCUGAGACCUUCUCGACCGGCCCAGAUGCCCACACAGCCUGGCUGCGGUUGGGCCGAGGGACGACCGGAUGGGGUGGGGGUAGGGACACCUCGGCGCGUGCUCCAUGGAGACGCCACCAGCAAGGAAGCAGGGCUGUGUCGGGCUCAUUCAAUAAAUC
rnacentral:lncRNA from 1 species